CGCGGGGUGGAGCGCCUGGUAGCUCGUCGGGCUCAUAACCCGAAGGUCGUCGGUUCAAAUCCGGCCCCCGCAACCA
rnacentral:tRNA from 1 species